GACCUUAAUAAAGAUAAAAAGCUAAACAAUAAUACUGGCAGUUCAGAGAUAAAAGCUAACUGACCUUUGCUGUCCGUUAUUGCAGGAAAGAUUUGCUCAGAAAUCAGAGCAGCUCUGAUCCUCUGCCAGCCUUCACAAGUCCAUAUCACUGCACACUCACUCCAUCUCCGUCAGCAUUCGCGUUCAAGCAGUGUCACAUCGGUUUCGCCAGGCUAGUGCGGGUUAAUGAGAAACUGUGUGUGUAUGCAGGCACAUAUUCACAUGUUGGCUUUACAGGCCACAGCAACAAUCUUCAAACAUUGCUGAUUUGUAUCGAUAUGGACAAAAUGCAAACAAAACCUUUUGACUUCUCCAGUAGCAAGAAUGAGACAAAUUCAGUUCAAUUUUCUUUGUCUAGCACUUUUAAUAAUGUCACAAAGUAACUUUAUUGAAAUAUGGAUGGAGAUUUAGAACCCUAACAAGGAAUCCAGAUACGACAGUGACUACGUUUGAAUGCAUAUCAAUAUUUCGAUAUUAAUCUAAAUUUAGCAAUACUCUAAGUAGUAUUGAGUCAUGUAAACGCCACAGUCCGAUUGCCUGAUUGAGAUUAAGACAAUAUUCUGCAACACGAAUAUAGAGCUUACAUGGAAUUUGGGUAGGGUUAGGGUUAGGGUUUGGGUUAGGGGUUAGGGUUAGGGUUUGGGUUCGGGGUUAGGGUUAGGGGUUUGGGUUAGGGGUUAGGGUUAGGGUUUGGGGUUAGGGUUAGGGGUUAGGGUUAGGGUUUGGGUUAG
ensembl:lncRNA